GCUUGUCUCAAAGAUUAAGCCAUGCAUGUCUCAGUACAAGCCAAAUUAAGGUGAAACCGCGAAAGGCUCAUUAAAUCAGUUAUGGUUCCUUAGAUCGUACUCACAAUUACUUGGAUAACUGUGGUAAUUCUAGAGCUAAUACAUGCAAACAGAGCUCCGACCGGAGACGGAAGGAGUGCUUUUAUUAGAUCAAAACCAAUCGGUGGCGGGCUCGUCAUCGUACAACUUGGUGACUCUGAAUAACUUUACGCUGAUCGCACGGUCAUCGCACCGGCGACGCAUCUUUCAAAUGUCUGCCUUAUCAACUGUCGAUGGUAGGUUCUGCGCCUACCAUGGUUGUAACGGGUAACGGGGAAUCAGGGUUCGAUUCCGGAGAGGGAGCCUGAGAAACGGCUACCACAUCCAAGGAAGGCAGCAGGCGCGCAAAUUACCCACUCCCGGCACGGGGAGGUAGUGACGAAAAAUAACGAUACGGGACUCAUCCGAGGCCCCGUAAUCGGAAUGAGUACACUCUAAACCCUUUAACGAGGAUCAAUUGGAGGGCAAGUCUGGUGCCAGCAGCCGCGG
rnacentral:rRNA from 1 species